rnacentral:lncRNA from 1 species
CGGCUCGUUAAUAGGCCUACCCAAUUCGUUGACGACUUAUGCGAGGCUAAUCAGGGAAGCCUUUCGAAUCCAUGGCGAGCAGCCUCUCUCCAAAGCCAGGGCCGUCUCCAUGGGCUCCUCCUUCGCUUCUCAUUUGGAGCAGGUGAUCCUUAUGAACCCUAAUUCUCCUCGAUAUUACUCUCCAUCCUAAUCCUCUUCUAUGCAUAAACCCCAACACAAAAAAAAUACCUCCAAUCUCCAAAAUCUGUCUAUAAAUCGAGGUUCCAAAUCAUGCCCUCUGCGGCUGACUGUCCAAUAUCAGCUACCUUUAUCUUUUAUUUUCUCAUCCUAUUUCAGAUUCAGAGCUUCCGACCCAUUUCGGGAUCCCUACGCUCUGAAUUAAUAGAUCUCUUGUAAUGAAAAUCGGUAACAAAGAUCUCAAAGUUUCUACAUACGUGAUUCUUUUUUAACGAAAUAUUGGUGAGGGUGAUUAAGAGGUUCUUAUGGUCGAGUUAAAGAAGCCUUUGUCCCCAAUCAUCAG